GAUCUUCAAAUAACAAGAUUCGAUUGAUUUUGAGUCGAGAUUCGAGCUCGAGCCUUUAGCGAUCCAACUUGGCUCAACUUAAUUGCACCAUUAACGUACCAUCGCAUAACCUGAUCAUUCAAUAAGAUUACACAAGAAAAAAAAAUGGAAAACAUAGUAAGACUUUGCAAUACAUUUAUAUCCAUAAGUACUGGCUAGUUGAAUACAUAUAAACAU
rnacentral:lncRNA from 1 species